GAUGAACGCUGGCGGCGUGCCUAAUACAUGCAAGUCGAACGAAAAGACGAUGAGCUUGUUCCUCUGACGUUAGCGGCGGACGGGUGGGUAACACGUGGAUAACCUACUUAUAAUACUUGGAUAAUUACGGAGAAACGGAUCCAAUACCGGCGAAUAUCUUGCACCGGAUGGUUCAAUGGUUAAUGGCGGCUUUGCUGUUUCUAAUAGAUGGUUUCGGGCCAGAUUAGCUAGUUGGUAAGGUAACAGCUUAUCAAGGCGACGAUGCGUAGCCGAGCUGAGGGGGUGAUCAGCCACACUGGAACUGAGACACGGUCCAGACUCCUACGGGAGGCAGCAGUGGGGAAUCUUGCGCAAUGGGCGGAAGCCUGACCGAGCCACACCGCGUGAGUGAAGAAGGCCUUCGGGUCGUAAAACCCUUUUUUUGGGGAAGAAAAAAAGUAGUAUAAAACACGGCCGUUUUGACGGUACCCAAACAAUAAGCACCGGCUAACUUCGUG
rnacentral:rRNA from 1 species